rnacentral:rRNA from 1 species
UACGAAGGGUGCAAGCGUUACUCGGAAUCACUGGGCGUAAAGCGUGCGUAGGCGGUUCGUUAAGUCUGCUGUGAAAGCCCUGGGCUCACCUGGGAACUGCAGUGGAUACUGGCGGACUAGAGUGUGAUAGAGGAUGGUGGAAUUCCCCGGUGUAGCGGUGAAAUGCGUAGAGAUCGGGAGGAACACCAGUGGCGAAGGCGGCCAUCUGGAUCAACACUGACGCUGAGGCACGAAAGCGUGGGGAGCAAACAGG